AUUGAACGCUGGCGGAAUGCUUUACACAUGCAAGUCGAGCGGCAGCGCGGGGGCAACCCUGGCGGCGAGCGGCGAACGGGUGAGUAAUACAUCGGAACGUGUCCUUAAGUGGGGGAUAGCUCGGCGAAAGCCGGAUUAAUACCGCAUAAGCUCUGAGGAGGAAAGCGGGGGCUCCGUAAGGACCUCGCGCUGUUGGAGCGGCCGAUGUCGGAUUAGCUAGUUGGUGGGGUAAAGGCCCACCAAGGCGACGAUCCGUAGCUGGUCUGAGAGGAUGAUCAGCCACACUGGAACUGAGACACGGUCCAGACUCCUACGGGAGGCAGCAGUGGGGAAUUUUGGACAAUGGGGGCAACCCUGAUCCAGCCAUUC
rnacentral:rRNA from 1 species